GACGAACGCUAGCGGCGUGCCUAAUACAUGCAAGUAGAACGCUGAAGGAGGAGCUUGCUUCUCUGGAUGAGUUGCGAACGGGUGAGUAACGCGUAGGUAACCUGCCUGGUAGCGGGGGAUAACUAUUGGAAACGAUAGCUAAUACCGCAUAAGAGUAGAUGUUGCAUGACAUUUGCUUAAAAGGUGCAAUUGCAUCACUACCAGAUGGACCUGCGUUGUAUUAGCUAGUUGGUGGGGUAACGGCUCACCAAGGCGACGAUACAUAGCCGACCUGAGAGGGUGAUCGGCCACACUGGGACUGAGACACGGCCCAGACUCCUACGGGAGGCAGCAGUAGGGAAUCUUCGGCAAUGGACGGAAGUCUGACCGAGCAACGCCGCGUGAGUGAAGAAGGGUUUCGGAUCGUAAAGCUCUGUUGUAAGAGAAGAACGAGUGUGAGAGUGGAAAGUUCACACUGUGACGGUAUCUUACCAGAAAGGGACGGCUAACUACGUG
rnacentral:rRNA from 1 species